UACGGAGGGGGCUAGCGUUGUUCGGAAUUACUGGGCGUAAAGGGCUCGUAGGUGGCCAACUAAGUCGGGACGUGAAAUCCCUCAGCUUAACUGGGGAACUGCGUCCGAUACUGGAUGGCUUGAGUUUGGGAGAGGGAUGCGGAAUUCCAGGUGUAGCGGUGAAAUGCGUAGAUAUCUGGAGGAACACCGGUGGCGAAGGCGGCAUCCUGGACCAACACUGACACUGAGGAGCGAAAGCCAGGGGAGCAAACGGG
rnacentral:rRNA from 1 species